AGCAGCCGCGGUAAUUCCAGCUCCAAUAGCGUAUAUUAAAGUUGUUGCAGUUAAAAAGCUCGUAGUUGAAUUUCGGGACCAAUCUGCCGGUCGUGCCUCCGGUACGCACUGGUUUUAUUGGUUUCUCCCUUCUGACGAACCAUGAUGUCAUUAAUUUGGUGUCAUGGGGAAUCAGGACUGUCACUUUGAAAAAAUUAGAGUGUUUAAAGCAGGCUCACGCUUGAAUACAUUAGCAUGGAAUAAUGAAAUAGGACGUUUGAUUCUAUUUUGUUGGUUUCUAGGAUCGACGUAAUGAUUAAUAGGGAUAGUUGGGGGCAUUAGUAUUCAAUUGUCAGAGGUGAAAUUCUUGGAUUUAUUGAAGACUAACUACUGCGAAAGCAUUUGCCAAGGAUGUUUUCAUUAAUCAAGAACGAAAGUUAGGGGAUCGAAGACGAUCAGAUACCGUCGUAGUCUUAACCAUAAACUAUGCCGACUAGGGAUCGGAUGAUGUUAAUUUUUUAAUGACUCAUUCGGCGCCUUA
rnacentral:rRNA from 1 species